AAGAAGUAUUGGCAGCAGCAAGCAGGCAGGCAGGCUGGGAUCUUGCAUGGAAAUCAUGAACCCUGUCUUGCUUUUCGUUUUUGAAACAUUUUGGAAGGAGAAUUAUGAAUAGCCCAGAAAUAGAUCUCAUUUUGUGGGUAGGAAGAAUGACCAGAAGCAUGAAAGCUAAAUCUUCUGGCAAGUGCAUGAACCCUUUCUUGGAGUGUGCAGUAAACCCGAGGGGAGGACUUUGCCUGCUGUGAACUCAUGAACCUGGAGUGAAGGCGUCGGUGAAGCCUUGUAAUAAACGCAAAGGAUGUCGAUGAGAGCUUUGGUCUGCUUUUAACUCGUUGUGGUGUCAGAAGUGAAUAUGAAAUGUUUUGCUGCAUUGUUGCGGUGUAGAUGAGCUGAUACCAGCAUGAUGUUACUCUUGAUCUUCACUAAGAACCUGCUCCUGCCAGUGAAGGUUGGUGAAAGAAGAAACACUUGGCUGCUUGAGACAUUGAGAACAGCAGAUGCAUGCUCAGCUCAGGAGGACAUUUCUAUCCUUCUCCAAGGCUCUAGGAAGAGUAUAAGUGCCCAGAAAACAGGGAUGAGAGCUAUGAAGUUCGGUGCUGUACCAAUGACACAAUCAAUACAAUCAUGACACCAUGGCAGCAGAAACCAUCAGUGGGCUCGUGCAAGACUGAGCCUGUCAGCAUUCACUCAUACACAGGGAGGGCCCAUGGAGCCACAUCCUCCUUGCUGAAUUAUGAGCUACUGAUGGAUUGUGGGUGGGAGGGACAAACAUUCUCUUCAGCCUUGUACCCACUUGUGAGUUCACCAGGCUAAAGUGAGCAGUAGCUACUCCAUGGACUCUGAUGUCCCUGGUUAAAUGCAGUGGAUUAGGAAGAAAAGGCAAGAAAACGACAGGACUGGGCUGUGGGAAAGGGACUAGAAAGGGAGGGAUUAUCAGGUAAUAUGGGUGUGGGGGGAAGCAAGAGAGGGUUAGGGUGGCAACAAUCAGAACAGACUGUGUAUGAACUUGUCAAAGAAAGCUACUACAGAUGAAAAUGAACCCACAGAUUUUGUAUUCUUAAAAAUAGUCACACUGAAGCAUUCUGGGUAACAGACAAAAUCAACAUCUCAGAACAUGUGUUAGGAAACUCGGAGACUAUUGUGUGAGGCUCAGUGUAGAGCUCAUUCCUUCAAACAUAUUAGAAACCAAAAGAUGUUAUUUGUACAGAAAACAGAAAGUGCUUCUUGGCUUUCAGCAGAGAACAAGUGUAGACCAUAGGAAAAGGAGAAUCUACAUGGAAAGAUCUUUGUCCCACCCCUUUUGACUUCAUAUUUGUAAUAACAAAGACUACCUCA
rnacentral:sRNA from 1 species